UCAAGAGUCUUUCUCUCCUUAUCCCCCGAGCAUUUCGGUCCCUCGUGAUUCGACUUCUCUUUCUGUAGUUUUAGUAUAGUAAGGUGAGCGCUGAAGCGCUGCACGAAUCUUUCUUAGAAAGAUUCAGCGACGAAGUUCUGCCCCUGCAGAGCCCGACUCCUAGCUAAAAUCCCCUUGUAAGUUUCGUCGAAGGAAAUUAUUUUAAAGUAAACGAAGCGCUGUCCGAGUACCGAGUCACCACCUUCUCAAGUGUUGAUAUGAAGUGACAUUACACUGAGAGAUUUAAAGAGAUGUAGAUCACUAGUGUAAAUAAUUGUAAGUUCUGUUUAUGCUUAUGUUUCUGUAUUAACGAUGACAUCCCAAACGUUUUAAAAUGAAAUAAAUACGUUUCUUCGAAAA